CCCUUAGAUGUCCUGGGCCGCACGCGCGCUACACUGAUGCAUUCAACGAGUUUUACCUUGGCCGAGAGGCCUGGGCAAUCUUUUAAACCUGCAUCGUGAUAGGGAUAGAUUAUUGCAAUUAUUAAUCUUGAACGAGGAAUUCCUAGUAAACGCAAAUCAUCAAUUUGCAUUGAUUACGUCCCUGCCCUUUGUACACACCGCCCGUCGCACCUACCGAUUGAAUGGUCCGGUGAAGCCUCGGGAUUGUGGCCAGUUCACUUUAUUGGGAGUUGGCUGUGAGAACUUGUCUAAACCUUAUCAUUUAGAGGAAGGUGAUGUCGUAACA
rnacentral:rRNA from 1 species